GACGAACGCUGACGGCGUGCUUUAGACAUGCAAGUCGAACGAGAAAGCACUUCGGGGUUAGUAAAGUGGCGAACGGGUGAGUAACACGUGGGCAAUCUGCCCUUCGUUGGGGGACAACCGGGGGAAACCCCGGCUAAUACCCCGUAAGCUGGUCGGGUCGCAUGGCCUGACAAGGAGAGGUAGCUUCGGCCAUCCGGCGAAGGAGGAGCCCGCGGUACAUUAGCUAGUUGGUGAGGUAAAGGCCCACCAAGGCGACGAUGUAUAGCUGGUCUGAAAGGAUGAUCAGCCACACUGGGACUGAGACACGGCCCAGACUCCUACGGGAGGCAGCAGUCGGGAAUCUUGCACAAUGGGCGAAAGCCUGAUGCAGCAACGCCGUGUGAGCGACGAAGGCCCUAGGGUCGUAAAGCUCUGUUGUUAGGGACGAAGGGCGAAGGGUUAAUAGCCCUUAGCCUGACGGUACCUUUCGAGGAAGCCCCGGCUAACUACGUGCCAGCCGCCGCAGUAAGAC
rnacentral:rRNA from 1 species